CAGAGUGUUCACGCCCCUCGCGGGGUUGACCCUCCCACCCUUUGUGUAUUUAUACUUUGUUGCCUUGGCAGGUUGCGCCCCUGGGCGCUUCAGGCUUCGUCCACCUGCCGAAGGACCCCUCAAACCCUGUUUUUUAGUGUCGUCUGAGUACUAUUUUAAUAGUUA
rnacentral:misc_RNA from 1 species